rnacentral:rRNA from 1 species
UACAGAGGUCCCAAGCGUUGUUCGGAAUUACUGGGCGUAAAGCGCGCGUAGGCGGACCUGCAAGUCGGGGGUGAAAGCCCGAGGCUCAACCUCGGAACUGCCUUCGAUACUGCGGGUCUCGAGUCCGGGAGAGAUGAGUGGAAUUCCUAGUGUAGAGGUGAAAUUCGUAGAUAUUAGGAAGAACACCAGUGGCGAAGGCGGCUCACUGGCCCGGUACUGACGCUGAGGCGCGAAAGCGUGGGGAGCAAACAGG